UGCAGUCGAACGAGAUCUUCGGGUCUAGUGGCGCACGGGUGCGUAACGCGUGGGAAUCUGCCCUUUGGUUCGGAAUAACAGUUGGAAACGACUGCUAAUACCGGAUGAUGACGAAAGUCCAAAGAUUUAUCGCCAGAGGAUGAGCCCGCGUAGGAUUAGCUAGUUGGUGUGGUAAAGGCGCACCAAGGCGACGAUCCUUAGCUGGUCUGAGAGGAUGAUCAGCCACACUGGGACUGAGACACGGCCCAGACUCCUACGGGAGGCAGCAGUGGGGAAUAUUGGACAAUGGGCGAAAGCCUGAUCCAGCAAUGCCGCGUGAGUGAUGAAGGCCUUAGGGUUGUAAAGCUCUUUUACCCGGGAUGAUAAUGACAGUACCGGGAGAAUAAGCUCCGGCUAACUCCGUGCCAGCAGCCGCGGUAAUACGGAGGGAGCUAGCGUUGUUCGGAAUUACUGGGCGUAAAGCGCACGUAGGCGGCUUUGUAAGUUAGAGGUGAAAGCCUGGAGCUCAACUCCAGAACUGCCUUUAAGACUGCAUCGCUUGAAUCCAGGAGAGGUGAGUGGAAUUCCGAGUGUAGAGGUGAAAUUCNUNNNUAUUCGNAAGAACACCAGUGGCGAAGGNNNCUCACUGGACUGGUAUUGACGCUGNG
rnacentral:rRNA from 1 species